rnacentral:rRNA from 1 species
AUGGCCGACGAGAAAGAAGCCGACUCGCUGCAGCCGCCGUCCAAGCAGCCCCGCCUCUCCUCCGCCGACUCGAACGCCGGGGCGGUGACGACGGCGGUCUCGUCGCCGCUGGGUCUUGGCCUCGGCCUGGGGCUCGGCGGCGAUAGCCGUGGCGAGCAGCAGGCCUUCGAAGCACGGGCAGCCGCGGCGGCGGCGAAAUCGGCGCUGACGUUCAUGCAGCAGCAGGAGCUGGAGCACCAGGUGCUCAUCUACCGCUACUUCGCGGCGGGUGCGCCCGUGCCGGUGCACCUCGUGCUCCCCAUCUGGAAGAGCGUCGCCGCCUCCUCCUUCGGCCCGCACCGCUUCCCCUCCCUGAUUGGGCUGGGGAGCCUGUGCUUCGACUACCGGAGCAGCAUGGAGCCGGAGCCCGGGCGGUGCCGCCGCACGGACGGCAAGAAGUGGCGGUGCUCCCGCGACGUGGUGCAGGGGCACAAGUACUGCGAGCGGCACGUCCACCGGGGCCGCGGCCGUUCAAGAAAGCCUGUGGAAGGAGCCUCCGCAGCCCCGGCGCACAGCGGCAGCCCCACCACAGCCCCGCCCCGCGCCAUCGGCUUCUCCCCCGCCGGCAUCCUCCACGCCACCCACAGCGCCACCUGA